ACAACUUGAUUUCUGUUCACAAGUUAGUGAAGCAAUUGCAUUGUAUAGUUAUGUUCACUGAACAUUCCUUCUUACUACACAUGAUACAGGACCCUUCUCUGAGGAGGCCUCUGGAUCUUGGUAGAGAAGCUGCUGGCUUAUAUAAACUGGCUUGGGUCCCUUCUUCCCCUUCUUCCUCUGUUAGUUGUUCCUCUACUUCUGUUUGUCAUGUAUCUGCUUCUUGUAAUGAUAGCAAGGUUGUUGCAUUGCCUUCUGUGUCUGUUUCUUGUAAN
rnacentral:lncRNA from 1 species